rnacentral:lncRNA from 1 species
GCUCGUCGAAGUACAAAAUUUAUUUAAAAGUAGAAGAGAAUGGACCUUUACAAUUGCUUGACUGUUUCCUUCAAAAUUCGAACAAGAAUAAAUCUCUGACCGGAGCCGGAACCACUAAACGGAGACCUCAUCGGCGAGAUCGAACUGCGACCUUGAACCCGACCAAAGCUAUGGAUGAAGACAUUGGACUGGAAGUAUCAGCUACAACAAAUGGGUUUCGGGUUGGUGUUUCAAUUGAUUUUGGGGCUAUUUUAUUGCGUUUUUGAGCUGGAGUUUCCAGCAAAUUUUUAUGGAGUUUCGAGGAAGGAAAGUGAAGUUUUUUGUGGAUGUAAAGAUGGAGAAGAGCUGGCUUUAAUAGAGUUUUAUGGCUGUGCUUUUCAUGGUGUUCCCACAGUGAAGGUGGAAGCAAGUAAAGAAGAAGGGAAAGAGAGAUCUACUGUUGCUGCACGCGAGAAGAAGAAGAAGAAGGCACUGCUUGGAUUUUAGUCCUCAAAUCGUUCUCUUUUCCCGGAUCUAUUUACUUUUUUUUUUCAUUUCCCCCAUAUUUUUGUUUCCUCCCUCUAUCUCUAUUUUCCAGGUGCUCUCCUUGUUUUUUACGUCCUCCAGAUCUAUCCUUUCUCAACCUUUGUGCCCCCCUCCCUCCCAAAGUUUGGAGAUAUAGAGAUAACACCAAGACAACAAACCAAACGUGAACCUCUGGCCCGUCAACAUUGAAAGUAUUUUGAUUAGAGUCUUCGUUCAUGAUUUGCAAAUUAAUGGCAACAAAAUAUCAAAAUUAACAUGUCCAACAUGGUUUUUUUUAUCUCACAUUAAUACGAUUAAACAAGUAACUCAAUGAAACACCGUUAAGGCUCGUCGAAGUACGAAAUUUAUUUAAAAGUAGAAGAGAAUAGACCUUUAAAAUUGCUUGACUGUUUCCUUCAAAAUUCGAACAAGAAUGAACCUCUGACCGGAGCCGGAACCGCUAAACGGAGACCUCACCGGCGAGAUCGAACUGUGACUUUGAACCCGACCAAAGCUAUGGAUGGAGACGUUUGAUUGGGAAGUAUCAGCUACAACAAAUGGGUUUUAGGUUGGUGUUUCAAUGAAUUUUAGGGCUGUUUUAUUGCGUUUUUUAGCUGGAGUUUCCAGCUGAUUUUUAUGGAGUUUCGAAGAAGGAAAGUGAAGUUUUGUGUGGAUGUAAAGAUGGAGAAGAACUGGCUUUAAUGGAAUUUAUUGGCUGUGCUUUUCAUGGUGUUCCCAAAGUGAAGGUGAAAGCAAGUAAAGAAGAAAGAAAAGAGAGAUCUACUGUUGCUGCACGCGAGAAGAAGAAGAAGAAGGCACUACUUGGAUUUUAGUCCUCAAAUCGUUCUCUUUUCCCGGAUUUAUUUCCUCUUUUUUCCAUUUCCCCCUUGUUUUUGUUUUCUCCCUCUAUCUCUAUUUCCCAGGUGCUCUCUCUGUUAUUUACGUCGUCCAGAUCUAUCCUUUUUCAACCUUUGUGCCUCCCUCCCCCUUAGUGAAGGUCUGCUAGGUCUAAAAUAAUAGAGAGUGGGCGUGGAUUUUUUGACAAGGUAAAAGAGGGGGUCUG